rnacentral:lncRNA from 1 species
AAAAAUACAUUUUUUUAUUGUCUGAACUCACAAUCACCACCCAGCAGUUCAAGCCUGCCCUAGGUAGCACCCACAUGAAGGCUCUAGCAUGAGCAAAGGCCUAAUCCGCAGGGAAGCAAGCUGCAGGGCCAGCAGAAACCCUCCUAACCACACAGAGGACAGCGGGCCACGUAAGCAGGUACAUGGCACACAGCUAAAGCCACCUUUCAACAAGCCAGGGUGCCAGAGGACAGUACAGUGAACCAACCCCAGCACUACAAAACUGCAUUUUCCCCAAAGAAACCUUUUGCUUCAUGCCCGUAAUUAACAUAAAAUAAGUAAAUUAUUUGUCUUUGUAUUUAGGAAAAUAAUCAUGCUAAAAGUUGUACUUUAUAUAGAUUUUCAAAGGAAAGACUGAUUGUGCUUUUUGAAUUAAAAAAAAAAAAGAUAGGUGUUUUCCAACCUCAUUGACUUAACCCUUGUGGAAUAGAGCACUCCUAAACUAAAAACACACACCAAAAGAAAGGUUAGUCCAGUGGGACAUUCAAGAUGUCUUCAGAAGGUCUUACAAUUGGCUACUUCUACUGUUCUGGUUUCGUCAAAAAGAAUACAGAGCAGAGCUGCUGUCUACACUGUCUCCAAAUUCCCUCCAGAGUCAGGUCUGAAACUGCCGGGCACACUAGAUGGCAGUUAGCCUGCAGCAGCGGGUCAGGCACCUCAAGCCAUCUGACUGGCUGUUACCUCAGAGGGACAAAGUGUCGUCCCCUCAACCUGCCUCCGUAACAAUUCUCGAAAGUAGUUCUUCCCCACCUUGGGCCACUUUGGUACAAAAACUUCCAUUUGUUUCAGCUGUUACCCAUUGCAAAUUUAGGAUGUUCUGGGUCUCAGACACCCAAACUACCCACUCCCGUAAGCAGUUGGCAGCUUCCAGGAGAACUAAGGCUGGAGGUCAAGGGUCGCACAGGGGCUCAAACAACGGGGCAGUCUUCCUCCAUCUGAUGGUCCACUGAGCCUUGUCCAGGGAGGAGACUGUCCCUUGAUAGGUGAAAAUUAAAUCUGUAACCUGUCUAGGUACAAUUCACACAAAUUAAGAAAAAAGAAACACAAAACAAAAAACCAAAACUGCGUCCAGGUUCACAGCUCAGUCCAGGCAAUGGAUCAACAGGCCCCGUGCUAGGAUCGGAUGUCAUUCUGUGUCUUCAGUCCCGUCUCCUCCAGUCCUGCUCUCUCAAUAAGCUCUGCUGGAUGACAAGCUGUACCCCCAAAAGGACAUGGGUUCAGGAAAUGCUUCCCAAAUGUUCUCCAAGGCAAAACCAAGGUGGCUGCAGGUCUGGUAGCAUGGAGGGCAGGAGUCAAAAGCCCUAAGUCUCACUCAACUCGCUGCAUCUCGCUGCUCCUCACCAAUGACCACUCAGGACUAGGGAGCAGCUGGCAAGGACGGAGCAGCCUCACAGGCUCUCAAAGCACGCGUCUCAACCCCUUCCUUCCCACUCUGGAAAAGCACUGUUCUAUCUUCAUCCAAGAGCUGGUAGAUUUGGUUUGUUUCUUUGGAACCAUCAAUAAAAAGAAGCAAACUUUUCCUGUUUUCCUCAUGUUUUCCUAUGAGAGCGGCAAUCUCUUGACAGCUCAGUAGCACACAGGCUGACUUGGCCAAAUGGACUUAUGAAUGCAUGCAUUCGGACCGCAUAUUGCUACCAAAAUGGAAUGUGGGAAUAUGCUAUGCACCUCAGGUUGAGAAAUGACCAAGAAAUCAAGAUCUAAAGGGUGAUAUAUAAUAUAUAUAUAUCAAUGCUAUUAUUCAUAAAAACCUUGUUUAGUAAUAAAAAAAAUUGCUUUGUUUAAAUAUGAAUAUUAGAGUCUGCUUCUCAUGGUUAGGAAAUAAUAGUCUUUCUGAAAAGCAGAUGCCUUUUCUACUACAACUCCAUGUCCUGGGCCUCAUCUUCUGAGAAGUCAGACAUAGAACUCUCCGAUGAGCUGUCGCCAGUGCCCUCUUCUUUCUGCUUGUACUCUUCUGGUNGGUGGAGGUACAUGGCUGCAGCGUCACCAUUGAGAGGAUCUAUGGGGUUAGGAUAGGCCAGCAACUGGGGCAGGAAGGACUCAAAUAUAUUGGUAAGAUCUACCUAUAGAUGGAGACUUAAAAGGGUACUUAUCAGGAAGGUCCACUCUCACUUUCCACACCCCGCCUUCAUAUGGUGUUCCUUGUGGUCCGUAAAACUUGACAACGAAUUCAUUGAGUCCUCCUAGGAUCUUAACCUCAUGUUUGCUUUCAAUGCUUGACUACGUCCGUGUCCAUCCGCCUCUUGCCGGGACUGGGGGAUGACAUGGUGUCGCCGCUGCCGCUGCCUCGCCGGCUCCUCGGCCGAGGUGGCAACACCCGCGCGGUCCCGUGGGGUCCGCUCAGCCGCCGCCCCCCGCACGGGGGAACACCGGGCACUGCCCCGCCGAGUGGGGGCGGGGACCGAGGCGCCCGCUCGGGCUGCCCUCCGACUGAGGCUCCGCCGCGGCCCGGGCUGCCGCUGCUCCGCGCCGUGCGCCGCUCCCUCCCGCCUGCGCUAGCUCGUUCGCCUGCCCGCCCGCUCGCUCACGCUCUCGCCAGCUCCCAGCUGCUUCCUCCACAAGCCGACGACUCCAGC